rnacentral:rRNA from 1 species
UACGGGAGGUAGCAGUGGGGAAUAUUGCACAAUGGGCGCAAGCCUGAUGCAGCCAUGCCGCGUGUAUGAAGAAGGCCUUCGGGUUGUAAAGUACUUUCAGUCGUGAGGAAGGUGUUAAGGUUAAUAACCUUAGCAAUUGACGUUAGCGACAGAAGAAGCACCGGCUAACUCCGUGCCAGCAGCCGCGGUAAUACGGAGGGUGCGAGCGUUAAUCGGAAUUACUGGGCGUAAAGGGCACGCAGGCGGUUAAUUAAGUUGGAUGUGAAAUCCCCGGGCUUAACCUGGGAAUGGCAUUCAAGACUGGUUAGCUAGAGUCUUGUAGAGGGGGUAGAAUUCCAUGUGUAGCGGUGAAAUGCGUAGAGAUGUGGAGGAAUACCGGUGGCGAAGGCGGCCCCUGGACAAAGACUGACGCUCAUGUGCGAAAGCGUGGGGAGCAAAC